UCCGGGGGAUGCAAGCGUUAUCCGGAAUCACUGGGCGUAAAGCGUCCGCAGGUGGUUGUGUAUGUCUAUUGUCAAAACAUCAUGCUUAACAUGAGAAAGGCAAUAGAAACUACAUGACUAGAGUGCGUUCGAGGCAGAGGGAAUUCCUGGUGUAGCGGUGAAAUGCGUAGAGACCAGGAAGAACACCGGUGGCGAAAGCGUUCUGCUAGAACGCAACUGACACUGAGAGACGAAAGCUAGGGGAGAGAAUGGG
rnacentral:rRNA from 1 species